rnacentral:lncRNA from 1 species
UCUGCAAUACGGACAUAUAAUAAGAUUCAAUAAUCAUCUUAUUGUGUUAUCGUUAGAUGGAAAAAUCAAUUGUGACAAAGAAACAUACGUCUCCGUCUUAUUCCGCCUCAGAUAUUCUUUAACAAGAUUCCGUUUUAAUCUUCUUGAGCCUUGUUAGAACAUCUUUUAUAUUUAGCCUCUCCUUGGAUAAAUCAACUGUGCAUUCUAGUGCUAGUCCCAUGGCCGAUCUAAAGAAGCUCUCUUUGGCUUGAAUAUUGUCAACUGCAUUUACUAGAUCUACAUCCACUAUGUGCAUUAUUGUAUCUGGAAAUGAUUCAAACACCCAUGUCCUUAUGGUGAACUCUCCAAUAAACAUAUCAUUUGUUGGCUUCUUCUUGGUUCAGUAAAAUCCCAUAGUUAUAAACACCUGCCAU